UGAAUACGAGAUGCUACGGCGUCGAAGCAGUCUAUGUCAUACUUCCAAGAAAAGCUCGCACUGUCAUAAACAAAUAAUGCCUGUACCAUAACCGACACAGGUGGGUAGGUAGAGUAUACUAAGGGGCGCGAGAUAACUCUCUCUAAGGAACUCGGCAAAAUGACUCCGUAACUUCGGGAGAAGGAGUGCCUUAUUUAUAAGGUUGCAAUAACAAGAUCCAAGCAACUGUUUAUCAAAAACACAGGUCUCCGCUAAGUCGUAAGACGAUGUAUGGGGGCUGACGCCUGCCCAGUGCCAGAAGGUUAAAGAAGUUGGUUAGCAUUCGCGAAGCUGAUAACUGAAGCCCUGGUGAACGGCGGCCGUAACAAUAACGGUCCUAAGGUAGCGAAAUUCCUUGUCGGGUAAGUUCCGACCCGCACGAAAGGCGUAAUGAUUUGGAUACUGUCUCGGAGAGGGGCUCGGUGAAAUAGACUUGUCUGUGAAGAUGCGGACUACCUGCACCAGGACAGAAAGACCCUAUGAAGCUUUACUGUAACUUGAGAUUGAAAUUGGACUUUACUUGCGCAGUAUAGGUGGGAGGCGUUGAUAAUAUUCUUGCGGGAUUAUUUGAGCCAUCAGUGAGAUACCACUCUUGUAAUGUUAGAUUUCUAACUUUGUAUCAUUAUCUGGUCAAAGGACAGUUUCAGGCGGGCAGUUUGACUGGGGCGGUCGCCUCCUAAACGGUAACGGAGGCGCACAAAGGUUUCCUCUGAACGGGUAGAAAUCGUAUCUAGAGUGUAAAGGCAUAAGGAAGCUUGACUGUGAGACCUACAAGUCGAGCAGGGACGAAAGUCGGUCUUAGUGAUCUGGCGGUGCUGAGUGGAAAGGCCGUCGUUCAACGGAUAAAAGUUACUCUAGGAUAACAGGCUGAUCUCCCCCAAGAGUUCACAUCGACGGGGAGGUUUGGCACCUCGAUGUCGGCUCAUCGCAUCCUGGGGCGGUAGUACGUCCCAAGGGUUGGGCUGUUCGCCCAUGAAAGCGGUACGCGAGCUGGGUUCAGAACGUCGUGAGACAGUUCGGUCCAUAUCCGGUGUAGGCGUUAGAAUAUUGAGAGGAGCCUUCUUUAGUACGAGAGGACCGAGAAGGACAUACCUCUGGUGUACCAGUUAUCGUGCCAACGGUAAACGCUGUGUAGCUAUGUAUGGAGUGGAUAACCGCUGAAAGCAUCUAAGUGGGAAGCCCACCUCAAGAUAAGUAUUCGC
rnacentral:rRNA from 1 species